rnacentral:lncRNA from 1 species
UGCCCGGCUCCCGUGCAGUGGGUUCCGGAGACUGGAGCUGGGAUUCGGGUUGGUGGUGGCCGAACGGAGGGUGCGUUCGUGCGGAUCCACAUCGCCGCACCAGGUCCCGCCUGUGGAAGACGUGUCGUGCUCCUCCCUAGCGCGACGAGAUGGUGGCUUCUGCGGGACGGAGCGCCCCAGGGCGCCCCAGAAGACGUUCAGAGAUAGAGUGGUCCAGGCUUCGGGAGGAUGUGGGACAGUGAUACAGCUCCGCGUCGGACUCAGAUUGUGCCAGGGAUGGGAACCUUGGGGGUGACCAGGACUCCAGGCACGGCGCAUCAAGAAGUCUUUCCGAGCCUGGGGAUCUUGAGCUGCUAUGGCGCAGAGACCGUGGUCAAUCCCGCUCCAUGCCGGGCGAGCCGCGCAGAGCGCAGAUCCGAAGCUCGGAAGCCUUUGCGCGCACGCUUGGGAGUCACAGGUCUAUUCGCAGAGCACUUGGUUGCUUUAAAUAGGGGCGAGGACAGAAAAGUUUGCACCA